CAGAAAGUGUCCCUUUUCCCCUCUGCUCUUCCUCCAGCAGUGCAGUGUGGUCCACUGGCAAGAGAAGGUGACAGCAGAAGGCAUCCUCUAUAAGGGUGCUGCGAGGGAAGAACACUGUUAAGUGAGCCAUGUGAGUGAGGGAUUUAUCUCCUGCUUAUGAAACAGUCAGCUCCUUUCUCAGCUUCAAAGAGAACAAAAGUCUGUUUUGUAACAAUUCCCUGGAGGCCUUUAGAGUUUCUACUUAAGAUAUAUUUAAUCCCUCCUGCUAAAAUAUGACUGCCUUCAAGUCUCCCCUCCAAUUCAUAUGGACAGAAAGGCUGGAAAUGGGAGAAUCUCCCUGUGAAUGAUUGACCAAGACAGUCAUAGAAGCUGUGUAAAUUGGGAGAGUUCCAAAAUUACUUGCAAGUUAGUAAGCAAAAAAAUAUGGGUAGUUGCUACAACCAGUCACAAUCUCAUCUACGUUUUAACGACAUGGCUAUCAUUGAUGGUUCUUUGUGGAAAGUAUGAGAGCCCAAUGACAGCUCUGGAGAAGAUAUCACUGCCAAAGAAAAUGAAAGCAGCCUGGAAAUAUAAGCAUAAGACAGAGAAAAUACAACAGUCAGGGCAGAGAAUGUUAGCUCCAGGAAAAAAAUUGAAGAGAGGAAAAGGUCUGAAGAGCUCUUAUGUCAAGUCUAGAUUCUUUUCAGCUCUUUGUUAAAGCACCAAGAUAAACAGACCAGGGUGAACCUACUGGAAAAACAAACACAUGUGUAUACUUUAGACAUUGGAAAUAAGACAUCUGAUCAUCAAAACAAGCAUCAGCUGUGUGUGACUCUUUUGGCUCUCUGAAGAUCAAGAAGUCAAAUGGGUUUAAAGACUGGCUCUACUGUUAAGAGGACUUUGGGAGCCCAUUCACUAUGGAGGGAUACUAUUGCAGCCCAGAUACAGCAAGGAGGGCCUAGGCCCUCCCCCAAAUGAUAUGACAGACUUGGAAGGUCCCUUGUGGAGGACCUCACUAUCCCUGGGGAGAAGUUAGGGGGUUGGGAGUAACAUGGGAGGAUGGGAAGUCAAGGGAAUGGGGGGAUGGAUAUGUAAAUAUCAGUAGUAAUUAAAGAAUUAAAAAAAAGAAGUCAAAUAGUUCAAUUGGAAUUGCUGAACCAGCGUCAUGAGUUUGCUUUCAUAGUGGCAUUGUUCACUCUCCAGGGAGGCCCUUAAAACGGGAAAAUUUCCCUCACCCUAAAGUCCAGCUGCUGCAAACUAAAACCUAGUGGAAUGUCUCAAGCACACCAUGUGGUACCUAAUCACCUACUAUUGAGAUCUGCUGGUCCAUGUUGACCACUGUAGGAAGCAGCAGAUAUUUCUCACUCUUAUACCAGAAAAUUCUGGACAGUAGUCUAUGUUUGCUUAUGGACACUUGGAAUCACACCUUCCAUCUCUUGCAUAAGCAUCUACCCAUCAACCACUCGCACUCUGGCAUGCCAG
rnacentral:lncRNA from 1 species